UAAGUGAAUAAUAAUGUUCUC
rnacentral:piRNA from 1 species